AAUCUUGGACAAUGGGGGCAACCCUGAUCCAGCGAUGCCGCGUGUGUGAAGAAGGCCUUCGGGUUGUAAAGCACUUUAGUUGGGGAGGAAGUUGUGUAUUUUAAGAGAUAACACGAUUGACUGUACCCAAAGAAUAAGCACCGGCUAACUCUGUGCCAGCAGCCGCGGUAAUACGGAGGGUGCGAGCGUUGUCCGGAAUCACUGGGCGUAAAGGGCGCGUAGGUGGCCGAGCAAGGUCGCGGUGAAAGCCCGGGGCUCAACCCCGGGUCGGCCGUGGCAACUACUGGGCUGGAGCACUGUAGGGGCGGGUGGAACUCCGGGUGUAGCGGUGGAAUGCGUAGAGAUCCGGAAGAACACCGGUGGCGAAGGCGGCCCGCUGGGCAGUUGCUGACACUGAGGCGCGACAGCGUGGGGAGCAAAC
rnacentral:rRNA from 1 species